UGCAGAGCCUGUGGUGAGAGAGCAGGAAGCAAUGGAUUGCAGGAGGCUGGAGUGGUGUUGAAUAUUUGUGUUGCUGGAAGUAUAUGUGAGAGGAGAUGUAGAAAAUGUGGCAUCGUGGUUACUGGCAAGAUGUGCAGUGCCGAGGAGGAAAAUCUGAUGAGGAAUCCCCAGCAUCGUAAAUGGAUAAUGUGGUGUUGACUGGAGUGAGAAGCAGCAGCAUUUCCCAGGUAAACCAAUUACCUCGAUUGCGGAAUCACAGAAUUGCAAGGGUUGGAAGGGACCUCUGGAGAUCAUCCAGUCCAACUCCCCGCUACAGCAACUCCCUACGAUGACUUCUGAUACGUGCCAGUGUGUGAGGAGAAGGAAGCAUUUCCUGAGAGCAGAUAUGUGAAGAUAUUCAGGCUCCCUUUAGGUACUAGAAGGCUGCAAUGAGGACACCCCACAGCCUUCUCUUCUCCAUGCUGAACAAGCCCAGCUCCCUCAGCCUGUCUUUGUAGUGGAGGUGCUCCAGCCCUCUGAUCAUCUCUGUGACCCUUCUCUGGAGGUUUUCUGUAAACAAUAAAGAAAAAGCAGAAGACAAGAAAAAAGGAGGCUGUAGGAGGCCACCCAGCAGGCUGAGCAUGGGCACAUGCGUAUGUCCCAGUUUGAGAAGAUGCUGCUGCAGCUGUGCCACCCCUUUCUGACUCCUGCUGGACUGCAAGGGCCUUCAGUGCCAAGGAACUGGUGUUGUGAAGAAAGAUUGAGGAUGACAGCGCUGUAACUGCUGGUAUUCUACUGAGCACGUUCCCUGUAAAACGUGCUGGCUGUGAUCCUCCUUUCCUCCGGAGGCACGGAUUUGUGUGCACUCUGUUCCCUGCAGUGUUCUCUCUGUGUACAACACUCAUUGCUCAUAUUUCAGUGAGGGCUUCUUGUGAAGCUCUGUGUGCUAAGUGUUCCUGCUGCUGAUGGGCACCAGCACAGGGCUUCGUGCAGAGGGGCACGGUGGCACUCACUGCCAGCACGUGCUGGCCUGCAGAAGCAGAGCAGAAAGCUCUCAGUCACCACAAGCUGUGCUGCCAGAUGUCAAGGGAUGUGAAAAGCCAGCAGCUGGUGAUCAGCCCAUGUGAAUGGUGACAGAAGUGAUUCCCGCCCAGAAGUGUCCCAGUGGCUACUGGAGGCGGACCCCUACUGACAUCCACGCUGAUCAUAACACAUGUAGUGGUUUCUCCACCUUUCUGGCCAUUCUUCUUGUGCAUCUGAGCACCUCCAGUACCACAGCAGAAUACUUUUAUUCAGCGUUGCCUGUGUAGUGAGCGUAUCUUAAACUCUGCCCCACCUGUUGUACAUCUGCAAACACACAGGUAGAACUUAUAUGCUGAUCUGUUAGAUGCUGGCUUAUCUCACUUGUCUGUAAGACCUUCAUGCAGUGAAGGCUCAUGUGAGUGCAGAGACUCAUCUCCCCAGGUUGCCUGUGUCACUGGGGAGAGAUGCAUCUCCAAGGGUGAUUCACAUGGCCUCUAUGGGAUGAAUCAUCCCAGAGGUCCCUGCUUAACUCUGCUUUGUUCCCUUUGGGGAGCAACACGUCUGCUUUAAAUGAGGGGUAAUUAAUCCUACCUGGGGCCUGGCACUCAGUUGUCAUGUCACAUAACAGUAUUAACAGAGAUGAAGAAUUUGAUCUUCAAAGAGAAAACGGCAGCAAUAUUUUCCCUUUUUUCUUUCUUUUCUUUUGGAAAAGUGAAAAGUGCAUGCUGAAAGACAGCAGAGUAAAGCUGUGUAAAUAAAAGAGGUGCCAUUGUUCAAAUAAAUAGACA
ensembl:lncRNA